GAGUUUGAUCAUGGCUCAGGAUGAACGCUGGCGGCGUGCUUAACACAUGCAAGUCGAACGAAGCGCCUUAUUUGAUUUUCUUCGGAACUGAAGAUUUGGUGACUGAGUGGCGGACGGGUGAGUAACGCGUGGGUAACCUGCCCUGUACAGGGGAUAACAAUCAGAAAUGACUGCUAAUACCGCAUAAGACCACAGCACCGCAUGGUGCAGGGGUAAAAACUCCGGUGGUACAGGAUGGACCCGCGUCUGAUUAGCUGGUUGGUGAGGUAACGGCUCACCAAGGCGACGAUCAGUAGCCGGCUUGAGAGAGUGAACGGCCACAUUGGGACUGAGACACGGCCCAAACUCCUACGGGAGGCAGCAGUGGGGAAUAUUGCACAAUGGGGGAAACCCUGAUGCAGCAACGCCGCGUGAGUGAAGAAGUAUUUCGGUAUGUAAGCUCUAUCAGCAGGGAAGAAAGUGACGGUACCUGACUAAGAAGCCCGGCUAACUACGUGCCAGCCGCCGCCGUAACACCG
rnacentral:rRNA from 1 species